GCAGCAGCACCUUCACUUCUAACACUGAGAAGAAAACAGAAGAAGUGGACAGCAUCCAUCAGACAGCUGUCUCCAACAAAGAAGAUGGCUGGCCUGUGCUGGAUGACUGUAACUCUGGCCUUCUUCCUGUCCACUGAAAACAGUUUGGCUGCUGUGGACCAGAACAGGCUUGCAACAAUUGUAAAUGGCAUCUUGAGAGAGUAUGUUCAGCCUGGCUGUAAGGAUCCCGGACAACCAGAACCAAAAAAUGAAAGAUAUUCUUCAGCAUGUGUUUAAAAGUGAUCCAGGCGAAGAUGUGAAGAAUAAGACCACCAGGGUGGUCGCAGCCAAAGCUCUGAAACGUGCCAAUAGAGAAGCUGAUCAUGCGGAGUCACGCGUUGUAAACCACUUGGACCACCUAUUCAACAUUAAUAAUGCUAAUGAUCCUGAUUUGUUGCUUUUCUAUGUUUAUGCCUGUGUUGAAAAAUUUUCAAGUGACACACAUCGUGAGAACAUUCUCCAAAGGAUAAAUUGCAUCCGUCAAUGGGAUAAUUAUGCUGUUGUGUUUUCUACAAUAUUCGGUUUGAUCAAUACUGACAAACACCGUAGUGGAGCCCUUCAACAAUCAUCGAAUGCAGUGAAGCAGCUGCUCUGGUGAUAAUCAAGUUGGGGUGGUAAUGGCGCAAUGGAUAAGACUGGUGUGAGAGACCCAGGGUUCAAUUCCCCACUGUGACCCACCCACCAUUGUGUCCCUGAGCAAGACACUUAACCCCUCAUUGUUAAGGUGUGUGACCUCUGACAUGUAUAGCAAUUGUAAGUCACUUUGGAUAAAAGCGUCAGAUAAAUGCAAGUUGGGCACUAUUGUGUUUCAGAUGACACAAAGCCUGGUCGCAGCUUUGUGUCAUCUUAUUCUAUAAGGCCUCAAAAUGGCAGAGGUGGUUCCUCCUCACAAAUAUGUUUCUAUUUGGGCAAUAGAUGCAGACACAGGUCAAGGUCAGGGUGGCAGUGGAAGAGAAGGGGGCAUGGGCAGAGGAAGGGGUGGCAGAAGAAAAAGAAGCCCUGAUCCUACAGGUGAUGAUGUUUCCUCCUCACAAACUGAUGACAGCGAAAGAAAUUAUUUUACUACAGGUGAAGGUGUUUCCACCUCCCUAAGUGGCACUGAUAAUGGUAAUGGAAAUGAUGGUUCUAAUCCAGGUGAAUGCUUUGGAAUUAUUAGAAAUGAAGGCAGGGGUACUGACACAAAAGAGGACAGGCACAGAGGAGGAAAAGGGAGAGGAAUUGUCAGGGUUUGUGUGGUGAGGCAGAUUGUUGGACCCAAAUGCAGGACGCAGAGCGGAGCAGGUACAGUUCAGAAGGGUUUAUUGUGGCAAAACAAAAGGCGAGCACACUUACUGGCAGAGUGGAUUAAACAGAUAACCAAACGGUGGGAAUGUAACGCUCGAUACUGAUGUGUCGACGCUGUGUCGAGAUCCCGAAGCACAGACGUUUCGAAACACUGCUCCAAAGCGUGGUUCAAAACGUCAAUGUCACGUGACCGCAAUGAAUGAGGCUUCGGUGCGUUUCACCCCUGUUUUGACAGGUUGGACACCUGCUGCUUCUACGCUUGAUUCACAGUGUUUGGAACAAACCACACAUCAGCCUCUAACUCAUUUGACAGAUUUUUUCCAAGGACACACAAUCCUUUGAUUUAUUGGAGCGACGUGCUGUAGUAUAUCCGUACCUGUAGGCUAAAAAAAUACUUUUUGCCAGCAACAAAUGUUCCAUGUCACCAAAUUUUUCCAAGGCUGGGGAUGUCGAUUAUGAAAAAAACACGACUCAGCCACAGCUGAAUAUUUCUGAAUACAAUUCUUGACAUAUAACAAAUGUGAGACAUUUUUUCAUUACCAUUCUUGAAACAACUUCAACUGUACUCAGUUACGGAUUUUUAAUCCAUUACACCUCAUCACUGCCAGCACUCAUUAUUAAUUAUUAUUACACUAGGGCCUAUAUCUUUCCUGCUAAUUAUCAUUACACCUGUUAAUAAGCUACUGUGUAAUACUGUAGAUAUCCACAUUUAUUACUAUAUUCUUAGAUUUGUAUACUUUAUUAUAUUCUCUAUUCAUUAACUUCAACUUCAACAAAGCAUUCACCCUCGUAGAUCAAUAAAGUGUUCUGAUUGUGAAAAUGAAUAGGGUAGUGGUUAAGACAUAUGCCUUUAGUGUGAGAGAUGUGGGUUCGAUUCCUACUGUGAUAUGUGUGUCACUGAGUAAGACAUUUAACCUCUAGUUGCUCCAAAGUGCACCCUCUGACACAGCAAUUGUGAUUUGCUUUGAGAAAAGCGUCCGCUAAAUCAGUGAUUACUUAUUAAACAACACACAGAUGUGUUUUAUUAAAAAGAUUUUAUUGCAAUCCCCAUCUGCUGUCUCAGACAAUCUGAAAGCAUUUGUUUGUUUGUUGCAUGGUGAUUUCUCCAAAAUCGUGUUGCUCAUGUAUUGAUGAGACGUUUGGAAUUGUAAAUGCUGGUCAGUCGUUGUUUCAAUGAAACCCCUACUAAGAUGCGUUGAUAUCAAUCGAUAUCAGUAGGUGUCACCGUGGAGAUGGGUGUCGAAGUGUUUCGAAGCCUCGACACAAUUUCGGCACAAUUGCUUCAAACGUUUCAAUGUUUCAUAAAGCCUCGCUUUGCCCAUCACUACCAAACGGGUACAGAUCCAAGACAGACAGGGCGGAGACAAGACAAGCACAGAGCUACACAUGACAGAGUGUAUCACACUACAAAACACCACAAUGACUGGACAAGCACUAAACAGAAUCACCAGGUAUAUAUACACACAGGGACUAACGAGCAGGGCCGGGAGCAACACAGGUGACAUGAGGCUAACGAGACACAGGCAGGCAGAGAGAGAGCAGGGGAAAACAGAGACAGACAUGCAGAGGAAUUACUGGGGUAACAGACACAACACAGGUUAUAUCACAAGAUGUAACAGAUCAGAAACAACAAACUAACUAGACAGACUCAGACGGACAGAUCACAACAAAACUAACACCAACAGGGAAAACAGACAGGACAGAACACAUGUAACAAAAUACCAGACAAGAAUCUAACUUCAGACAAUAACAGAAACCCAU